rnacentral:tRNA from 1 species
GGGGCGGUGGCGGAAUUGGCAGACGCAGGGGACUUAAAAUCCCCCGGUUCAAACCAUGUGGGUUCAAGUCCCACCCGCCCUA